rnacentral:rRNA from 1 species
AUGGCUCAGGAUAAACGCUGGCGGCGUGCUUAACACAUGCAAGUCGAACGGAGUGGUCUCCCGAGGAUUGACGGUGCUUGCACCUGAUUGACUCAUUGAAUCACUUAGUGGCGGACGGGUGAGUAACGCGUGGGUAACCUGCCCUAUACUGGGGGAUAGCAGUUGGAAACGACUGAUAAUACCGCAUAAGCGCACAGUAUCGCAUGAUACGGUGUGAAAAACUCCGGUGGUAUAGGAUGGACCCGCGUCUGAUUAGCUAGUUGGUGAGGUAACGGCCCACCAAGGCGACGAUCAGUAGCCGGCUUGAGAGGGUGUACGGCCACAUUGGGACUGAGACACGGCCCAAACUCCUACGGGAGGCAGCAGUGGGGAAUAUUGGACAAUGGGGGAAACCCUGAUCCAGCCGACGCCGCGUGAACGAUGAAGUAUCUCGGUAUGUAAAGUUCUAUCAGCAGGGAAGAUAAUGACGGUACCUGACUAAGAAGCACCGGCUAAAUACGUGCCAGCCGCGGC